rnacentral:rRNA from 1 species
UUGACCUCGGAUCAGGUAGGGAUACCCGCUGAACUUAAGCAUAUCAAUAAGCGGAGGAAAAGAAACCAACAGGGAUUGCCUCAGUAACGGCGAGUGAAGCGGCAACAGCUCAAAUUUGAAAUCUGACCCCUUCGGGGCCCGAGUUGUAAUUUGUAGAGGGUGUUUCGGGCGCGGCGCCGGUCUAAGUUCCUUGGAACAGGACGUCAUAGAGGGUGAGAAUCC